CAGCUCCUCAAGAAGCACAGCUGCAAUAUUGUUUUCGUGAAUCAUCAUCCUCCAAAGUCCAAACGUACCAGCUCCCUCUGCCCCCCAAAAAAAAAACCCAGCAGUUUCAUCACCUUUAAACUCCCACGAGAACCAGUUAAAAACAGCCAUGUGAAUGUCACUUUCACUGUUCCCUUUCUUCAUUUUCGUUCACCAUGUAAACCACCCAAAAACAACACCGUAGGAACCAUGAAGCUCAUUAAUAGACCACCGUAGGCUCAUUCUCAAAGCUUCAGUUGUUGUCGAGUUCGUAACGGUCCAGUCGUGUAUCAUCGAGUUAGCUCCAUAAGAGUUUUCAGAGCCGCCGCCCAUACCCUUGAAGCGUCACUAUUUUUCUUUCUUGUAAAACUUAAUUUUCCGGCUUCAUUUGUCCCUGUUAAGUUUCAACUAUCAUAAAAGCUUCGUACUUUGAUUCAUUAGAUAAGUUCGGAUACUGUCCCGGAGUAAGGGGUAGAUCUGAAAGACCCCUACCUCUGUUCGCUGCACCCGCAAAAGACUAAUCAUGAUGAUCCCAAGAUUUCGUGGACUGAAGACUUGCCUUAGCGCGCCUUAUACGGAUGAAGAAGUUUGGACGCGACGAAGAAGUGCAUUUAGCUUACGUAGAUUAGGAAAUAUUUCAUUUGGCAUGUAAUAAAGCUUAAAGAUAUUUUGUACAUCAUUUUGGGAAUAGAAUUGUUUAAUUAAUGAAAGAGCAAUGAGAUGACAUAUAAUGGCACAUUCGUCUUUCAAAUAUACGUUAGGCCUACCUCUGGCAUAAAGAGGUCCCUGUAUAUUAGGACGUGUGAAUGCUUGUAUUAUGAACCUUGUUUGCUUA